rnacentral:miRNA from 1 species
CGGUGGAAUCUGAGGAUAGUG